GAUGAAGAACGCAGCGAAAUGCGAUAAGUAAUGUGAAUUGCAGAAUUCAGUGAAUCAUCGAAUCUUUGAACGCAUCUUGCGCUCCUUGGUAUUCUGAGGAGCAUGCCUGUUUGAGUGUCAUUAAAUUCUCAACUACACUGACUUUGAAUUGGUGUGGCUUGGAUUUGGGGGGAAAAUUGUUGUGGGCUUUUUGUAUAGUCUGCUCCCCUGAAAUUGAUUAGCGGUACCUUUGUGGAACUGUCUACAGGUGUGAUAAUUAUCUACAUCUUAGACAUCUGCUGGAAUGCUGCUUUCUAAACCUUACUUGUAUUGACAAUCUUGACCUCAAAUCAGGCAGGACUACCCGCUGAACUUAAGCAUAUCAAUAAGCGGAGUA
rnacentral:misc_RNA from 1 species